rnacentral:lncRNA from 1 species
UAGAUCUAGCCUUUAUUAUGCUUUUUGAGCCAUUUUAUCUUCAUGGAUGUAUAUGGGCACGUAAAGAUAGAAUCUUUACGUGCUAAUCGAGUUAAGGGAGCCCAGAUCUAUAAGUUUUAUACACUGGAUUCAAGCAGAAUCGAGUUUAGAGUUGCUGCAUGCAAGCGACUCGGCGAGUCGGAAGAACGACUCGGCGAGUCGAGUCGCGAGUCCCCGAUUUUCCCUUUUUGAGUGAUGCCGAGUGGGGACCAGUGAGUAGUAGAGUGGACUCAGCGAGUUGGAGGUCAGACUCAGUAAUGCAGGGACUUGGCGAGUUGUUCAUACAAAUCGGCGAGUCCAAGACAAUCUUCUUAGAUCGAAGAACAACUCGUCGAGUUGUUCAUAUGACUCGGCGAGUCGGAUGCAGAUUGCAUGACUUUUAGAUUCGAAAGGGGACUCGUCGAGUUGAUGCCAUACUCGACGAGUAACAGCGAGUAGGGUUGAGAAGUGAGAAUAGGGACUCGGCGAGUUGGGCGCUCAACUCGGCGAGUCAGGUCAACUGUAGGUUGACUUUGACCAGGAGAGUUGACUUUGACCAAGGGUAAAAGAGUCAUUUUACCCCAGUGUAGUGAUUAGCAUUUGAUUGAGUGUGUUAUGGAUUUGUAGCCGGGGAGAUACCGGAGCAGCAACAGUUAGCUUCCGGAGCCAUACACACAGCAGCCAGUUCACGAGGUGAGUUUCCUUCCAGUAGGAAUGGGUCUAAGGCCACAAUGCCGGCCCGUUCAGUUGGCAGUAGUUUUUGGACUUCGGUCCAACGCAGUAGUUAGUAUGUUUGACGCCUCCGUUGCUCAUACCGGAUUUAUGUGUUUAUGCUAAGUUGAUAUGUUAUGCUAUGCUGUGUUCAGUUAGUCCGAACUUCGGUCCGAUGUAGGGGACGGGGUCCCAGUCAGCUUCGGACUUCGGUCCGAUGUAGGGGACGGGGUCCCAGUCAGUUUCGGACUUCGGUCCGAUGUAGGGGACGGGGUCCCAGCCAGUCAGUUUCGGACUUCGGUCCGAUGUAGGGGACAGGGUCCCAACCAGUUAGUCCGGACUUCGGUCCGAUGCAGGGGACGGGGUCCUAGAUAGUUAGCCGGACAUCGGUCCGAUGCAGGGGACGGGGUCCCAGUCAGUGGGCAAGGCCUAGUAUGUGCUUUAUAUGUAUUGUAUGGUAUGUGGUAGUUUGGGGGAGCUCACUAAGCUUCGUGCUUACAGUUUCACUUUUGGUUUCAGGUACUUCCGAAAGCAAAGGGAAGAGCUCGGGAUGAUGGCAUCGCACACACCACAGCUUCAGUUUUUGUCCUGGGAGUUGAUACAGUUUUCUUAGAUAUGUCUUGAUACAGUUGUGAUUCAGUUUUCUCACAGUAUUUUAGUAUGGUUUGAGAUACAUAGUGCAUGGUUUUAUUAUAUGAUACUCAGAUUUAUGAUUUUUGGUUAUAUUAAAAAUGAAAUUUUUGGGUCGUAUUUUUGGGUCGUUUCAAGUUGGAAUCAGAGCCUUGGUUUGAGGGAUUCGGAUACACUUCCGGGUGUAUCUGAACUCAAACUAAGGGGAAAAUAAAAAGAUUUUCAAAAGGAAAAUGUUUUCUAAAGAAUUUUGAAAGCACUUAGAAAGAAAGGGAUUUUUAAACGACAUAAGGGUGUGGUGCAUGCGAUCAGCCGAGCUCAAGUAAGUACUCCCAAAUUACCCAUACAAGUUUAUUAGUUCACUUUCAGUUUUAGUUCCAGUUUCAGUUUCAGUUUCAGUAGAACAACAUGCUAGUAUAGGACUAAGGAUCUAGGAGGAUGCCUUAUGUGCCUGCUAUAUGUGUUUCAGCUUUAUGAGUAUUGCAUGCUAUUAUUGAGUAGACAGCAGUAGGAUAGCCUGUUUAGGUUAUGCCUGAUAGUAUGAGUUUAGCAUUGUAUGCUAGUACAGUUUCCUUGUUAUGAGGAUAGGAUUGCUUGAGUAGUUUCUUGUGUCCGAAUGUUGCUCGCUUUGAGCUUUGUGGGACUCCGAGUGAUGGGAGUUAGCCAUCAGGUGAAUACGUCACGUCACAUGUGAUCAGGGUUGAAUAAUCUCAGAGUGUUGGAUUUGGCCCUAUUGCGCAGCUCUUUUUUGAGUCCAACCGUUGUAGGGACGAGCUUUUUACUCGAAGGAUUAUCUGAGCCUCAUCACAUGUGAUGGUAUUCAGGUGAUGGCUAAUUAUCAUUAUAAGGAGGCCUUCAACAGCUGAGGACUGGUUGAGUGGAGUCAGAGAUUUCCCUAGGGAAAGCCUAGGAUGAGAGUAGCAGAGAUCAGUAGCAGUAGAGUGACAUGGUGGAGUCAAGGCAGUUCUUGAGGAAAGUACGGAUAGAUGUGGAAGGUAGUAUGGGCCUGUACUACUGAAAGCAGAGGAUCCGUACUCGAAUCAAGGAAGGCUGAGACAAGACCAGGAAGCUAGUAGUAGUAUCAAGGAUCCCUUGAAAUAUUUCAGUUAUCUGAUGUCGUUAUGAUGUGUUUCAGAAUGGUGGUUUUGCGUUCGAGACCAGCAGCCGACAGUGGAGGUGCCGGGGAGGGAUCAGGUUCAGGCUCGGGGGACGAGCGCAUGGAUGAGCAGACCAGAGAGGUUCUUUCUUCAGAGAUUACUCGUAUCAUUAUAGAGCAGACUCCUGUGAUCUUCGGUUCGAUCAAGGAGGGUAUCCUAGAGCUGAUGGAUGAGAGGUUGGGCACUUUCCGUGCCGAGGUGGCGGCCAUGAUGGGGUCGUGCACACUUACAUUCAGGGAGUUCAGGGCAUGUGGAGCUCCAGACUAUCACGGGGCGCGGGACCCCAUAGCGAGUACUAGAUGGUUGGCGGAUGUGGCCAACGCGUUCCGCACGAGCAGGUGUCCCGAGGGGGACAAGGUUAGAUUGGCGUCCUGUCUUCUGAAGGACAGGGCACGGGAUUGGUGGGAGGAGGUCGGACAUACCAUUGGAGAUGAUGCAGCAUUGGAUGCCAUGACCUGGGCUGAUUUCUCUACCAGGUUCAGGGCGGAGUUUGCACCGGUUAUUGAGGUGCAGCAGUUAGCCAGAGAGUUUCAGGACCUCACCCAGACUACAGAGACCGUGGCGGAGAUCACCGCCAAGUUCAGGGAGAGGGCUCUUCUUGUUCCUCAGUAUGCAGCCGAUGAGGAGAUGAAGAAGGCCCGUUAUCAUGAGAUGUUGCGGAGCGAUAUCCGCCAGUUUGUGAGCCGGUCCAGCUGUAAAACGCUGGAUGACAUGAUUGCUAGGGCUCGGGAGAGGGAGAUUGAUCUCGAGAUGGAGAAGAAGAGGAAACCGGAGGCGGUUUCGGGUACAGGCAGUUCGGGCAAAAAGCCCAAGGUUUCAGAUCACAGAUCUAGGAGUCAGCAGAGCCACGGUCGAUGUGGCAAGUGUGGGAGAUUGCACGAGGGGGCGUGCAAGGCAGGGAGUUCCGGCUGCUACAAGUGCGGUCGGAUUGGGCAUUUGAGUAGGGAUUGUACGGCCCCUGCUACUGCCGUUGCAGCAUCAGAUCUGAUUUGCUUUCAGUGCAAUCAGAGGGGACAUAAAAAGUCCCAGUGUCCGAGUUUAGCUGCAGCAGGGAAGGUGGCUGCACCUGCCCCUGCUACUUUGAGGAUUACAGAUGGCCGGCAGGGCCGAGCUGAUGCGCCAGUGGCGAAGAGUAGGGCGUUUCAGAUGACAGCAGAGGAGGCGCGAGCGACUCCUGAUGUGGUGACGGGUAUGUAUCUUCCCUUCAUCUCUUUAUUAUUAUUGAUUGAUUAUUGCUUAUGAUUGUAUGUUUUAUAUAGGGUCGUUCUCUGUGAACGGCAUUUCUGCUAUGGUAUUAUUCGAUUCGGGGGCUACCCGAUCAUUCGUAUCGCUUGCGCUUAGCAAGAGAUUUAGUAGAGCUCCAGGGGAGCUGGAUUGUCCAUUAGAGGUUGAGAUAGCAGAUGAUAGGACCGUGAGGGUCGGCAGAGUGCAUAGAGGGUGUUCUCUUCAGUUGUUUGAUGAGCAGUUUUCAGUGGACCUGGUACCUAUUCCCCUGCGAGGGAAUAAGGUUAUUGUGGGCAUGGAUUGGCUAAGCCCCAAUGGGGCGGUGAUUGAUUGUGAGCUUCAGCUAGUGAGGGUUCGCACUCCCAGUGGGGGAGAGUUAGUGAUUCAGGGCGAGAGGCCACAGCGCGGACCGACCUUUUGUUCCGCCGCAAGGGCGAGGCGCUAUUUUCAGCAGGGUUGCGCUGGUUAUGUAGCUUAUGUCUUGGAUGCCCGGGAGAAGGGCAAGACGACAGUUGAUGAUGUUCCGAUAGUGCGAGACUUCCCGGAUGUAUUUCCCGAGGAUUUACCGGGAAUACCUCCUGAGAGGCAGGUUGAGUUUAGGAUCGACCUGAUUCCUGGUGCGGCUCCGAUAGCCAAGGCACCGUAUCGCCUAGCUCCCCCUGAGAUGCAGGAGUUGUCUACGCAGCUGCAGGAGCUGCUAGACAAGGGUUUCAUUCGGCCGAGCAGUUCGCCUUGGGGAGCGCCGAUCCUGUUUGUGAGGAAGAAGGAUGGGUCGCAUCGUAUGUGUAUAGAUUACCGGGAGUUGAAUAAGGUAACGGUGAAGAACCGUUACCCACUUCCGAGGAUAGAUGAUUUGUUUGAUCAGCUUCAGGGAGCGUCUUGGUUCUCCAAGAUCGAUCUACGCUCCGGGUAUCAUCAGAUGCGGGUUAGGGAUGAGGAUGUGCAGAAGACUGCUUUCAGGACCAGGUAUGGUCAUUAUGAGUUUGUGGUGAUGCCAUUUGGGCUCACCAAUGCUCCAGCCGCGUUCAUGGAUCUCAUGAAUCGCGUGUGCAGGCCGAUGCUGGAUCGGUCAGUGAUAGUAUUCAUAGAUGAUAUCUUGGUGUAUUCCAAGACGCAGGAGCAGCACGAGGAGCACCUGAGGGAGGUGCUGGAAGUUUUGAGGAGGGAGAGACUUUUCGCAAAGUUCUCCAAGUGUGAGUUCCGGUUGCGCGAGGUGCAGUUCCUUGGUCACCUCGUCAACCAGAAGGGGAUUUUGGUGGAUCCGGCCAAGAUAGAGGCCGGGAUGCAGUGGGAGGUCCCAAAGUCUCCAUCUGAGAUUCGGAGCUUCCUAGGGUNUUCGGAGCUUCCUAGGGUUGGCAGGGUAUUAUCGGAGGUUCAUUCAGGAUUUCUCCAAGAUAGCAGUGCCGCUCACCCGACUGACCAAGAAGUCGGUGGUAUUUCGUUGGGGGCCUGAGCAGCAGGCAACGUUCGAGACCCUCAGGCAGAGAUUGUGCGAGGCUCCGAUCCUUACCUUGCCAGAGGGAGUAGAGGACUUCGUAGUCUACUGUGAUGCCUCAAUCACAGGCAUGGGAGCAGUGUUGAUGCAGCGAGGCCAUGUGAUAGCUUACGCCUCGAGACAGUUGAAGCCUCACGAGGCUAAUUAUCCUACCCAUGAUUUAGAGCUGGGGGCGGUUGUGUUUGCCCUCAAGAUUUGGAGACAUUAUCUUUAUGGGGUCCGUUGUACUAUAUGCACGGAUCACAAGAGUUUGAGGUACCUUAUGGAUCAGUCGAGUCUGAGCAUGAGGCAGAGGAGAUGGUUGGAUGUGUUGAAGGAUUAUGACUGUGAGAUCCUUUACCAUCCAGGGAAGGCCAACGUGGUGGCCGACGCCCUAAGCCGCAAAGUGUUGACAGCUCCUAUCAGGGAUUUGUGUUUGAGGAUGACAGUGAUCACUCCAUUGUUGGAGCGGAUCAAAGAGGCUCAGGUUGAGGGCCUCAAGGAGGAGAGGCAAAAGUGUGAGAGGAUAGUGGGCCGAGUAGCUUCGUCUGAUUAUGACAGUCGGGGAUUGCAGACGCUUCAUGGGAGAGUGUGGGUACCGUACUGGGGUGGAGUACGGCAGGUGUUAAUGGACGAGGCUCAUAAGUCUCGAUUUUCUAUCCACCCAGGGGCGACGAAGAUGUAUAGAGAUCUUCGAACCGAUUGCAUGAAGCGGGACGUCACUUGGUAUGUUGAGAGAUGCCUGACCUACAGGAAGGUCAAGGCGGAGCACCAGAGGCCUCACGACAAGAUGCAUCCAUUAGACAUUCCCGUGUGGAAAUGGGAGGACAUCACCAUGGAUUUUAUCACCAAGCUUCCCAGGACCGCACGAGGAGUAGAUUCGAUAAGGGUAGUAGUGGAUCGGUUGAUGAAGAGUGCUCAUUUUAUCCCGAUCCAGGAGAGUAUAUCAGCAGAAAAGUUAGCCGAUAUCAAUGUGCGUGAGAUCGUGGCACGUCAUGGAGUGCCGGUAUCGGUGGUGUCAGACCGAGAUGUCCGUUUUACAUCCAGAUUCUGGAAGCGGUUCCACGACGAUAUGGGUACUCAUCUCCAUUUCAGCACCGCUUUCCACCCUCAGACAGACGGGCAGAGUGAGAGGACGAUUCAGACUCUCGAGGACAUGCUCAGGGCAUGUGUUCUAGACUUCGGUGGCAGUUGGGAUACGUAUCUUCCGUUAGCGGAAUUUUCGUAUAACAACAGUUAUCAUGCGAGCAUUGAUCGACCUCCCUUUGAGAUGCUUUAUGGGAGGAAGUGUAGGACCCCGAUUUGUUGGGGCGAGGUCGGUCAGCGAGUCGUUGGGAGCACAGAGGUGGUGCUCAAGACGACCGAGUUGAUUCAGCAGGUCCGUAGUAGACUGCAGACUGCGCAGAGUCGGCAGAAGAGUUACGCCGACAGGAGGUGUUCAGACUUGGAGUUCCGGGUGGGUGAUAUGGUCCUUUUGAAGGUCUCACCUUGGAAGGGUGUCAUCAGGUUCCGGAAGAGGGGAAAGUUGGGUCCCAGGUUUAUUGGUCCUUUCAGGGUUUUGGCCCGGGUGGGUCGGGUUGCUUAUCGGUUGGAUCUUCCUGUAAAGCUUAGCCAGAUCCACAACACUUUCCAUGUGUCUCAGUUGAGGAAGUGUUUGAUGGAUGAGUCAGCAGUUGUUCCCAUAGAGGAUAUUCAGGUUAAUAGCAGCCUGAAGUAUAUUGAGAGGACGGUCGCGAUUCUGGACCGGAAGACAAAGACCUUGAGGAACAAGGAGAUUCAGUUAGUGAAGGUGCAGUGGCAGCACCAGAAGGGGUNUCCGAGGUGACCAUAGUGGGACAGAAGAGUGCUAGAUCACAGAAUCGGUUUGUGUAAGUUGUAAGGUCAGAGCCUGCCAUUCUGAGAUUCCACAAUUCUUGCUCCAGUGUAACGAUCCGUCUCUGGUAUGUUGCUUCCAUGACAUUUAAUUAGAAGUUUUCAAGAGGGACUUAGCGAGUCUAUAGCCCGACCCGCCGAGUAGGGACAGGAUUUUGUGCACGUGUUAGACGGCGACUCAGCGAGUCCAUAUUCGGGACUCAGCGAGUCUGCCUGCCUGGAAGAAACCCUAAAUCCCCAGGUUGCUCGCUAUUUAAGCAAUGCUUGUGCCCUAAACUCGCCUCCUUCACCCUCAGAGAGCUGUGAGAAACCCUAAUCCAUCCUUUGAGUGAUUUAAGUGUUUUUUUGUGGAUUUUGAAGGCUUGAAGAGGAAAAAGAAGAAAGGAACAAGGAGAAGAGGUGUAGAGCAAAGAUCCAAGGGCAAAAUCAGAGUUCAUUAAGGUAUUUCUCGGAUUCCUUCUGUUUUAUGCUUUAAACCUCCAUUAGAACACUUCUAGGGCUAGUUUGAUGUAUUUUCCAAACCCUAUAGUUGUAUGGAUGCCUUAAUAGGUCGAGAUAUCCUUAGAUCUGUUCAUUUAGGAGUUGUAGAGCCCGGAUCUAUUGCCUUUUUGAAGAUACUUUGCAUGAGAACCCUAGAUCUAGCCUUUAUUAUGCUUUUUGAGCCAUUUUAUCUUCAUGGAUGCAUAUGGGCACGUAAAGAUAGAAUCUUUACGUGCUAAUCGAGUUAAGGGAGCCCAGAUCUAUAAGUUUUAUACACUGGAUUCAAGCAGAAUCGAGUUUAGAGUGACUGCCUGCAAGCGACUCCGCGAGUCGAGUCGCGAGUCCCCGAUUUUCCGUUUUGAGUGAUGCCGAGUGGGGACCAGUGAGUAGUAGAGUGGACUCAGCGAGUUGGAGGCCAGACUCAGUAAUGGAGGGACUCGGCGAGUUGUUCAUACAACUCGGCGAGUCCAAGGCAAUCUUCUUAGCUCGAAGAACAACUCGUCGAGUUGUUCAUACGACUCGGCGAGUCGGAUGCAGAUUGCCUGAGUUUUAGAUUCGAAAGGGAACUCGUCGAGUUGAUGCCAUAC